rnacentral:rRNA from 1 species
AUUGAACGCUGGCGGCAGGCCUAACACAUGCAAGUCGAGCGGAUGAAGGGAGCUUGCUCCUGGAUUCAGCGGCGGACGGGUGAGUAAUGCCUAGGAAUCUGCCUGGUAGUGGGGGAUAACGUCCGGAAACGGGCGCUAAUACCGCACACGCCCUGAGGGAGAAAGUGGGGGAUCUUCGGACCUCACGCUCUCAGAUGAGCCUAGGUCGGAUUAGCUAGUUGGUGGGGUAAAGGCCUACCAAGGCGACGAUCCGUAACUGGUCUGAGAGGAUGAUCAGUCACACUGGAACUGAGACACGGUCCAGACUCCUACGGGAGGCAGCAGUGGGGAAUAUUGGACAAUGGGCGAAAGCCUGAUCCAGCCAUGCCGCGUGUGUGAAGAAGGUCUUCGGAUUGUAAAGCACUUUAAGUUGGGAGGAAGGGCAGUAAGUUAAUACCUUGCUGUUUUGACGUUACCAACAGAAUAAGCACCGGCUAACUUCGUG